UUCGAUUACUCCUACGGGAGGCAGCAGUGGGGAAUAUUGCGCAAUGGGGGCAACCCUGACGCAGCGACGCCGCGUGAGCGAAGAAGGCCUUAGGGUCGUAAAGCUCUGUUGUAAGGGACGAACGUUUAUCCUUCGAAUAGGAUGAUAAAGUGACGGUACCUUACCAGCAAGCCCCGGCUAACUACGUGCCAGCAGCCGCGGUAAGACGUAGGGGGCGAGCGUUGUCCGGAAUUACUGGGCGUAAAGGGCAUGCAGGCGGAUAAUUAAGUCAGAUGUGAAAGACCGGGGCCCAACCUCGGGGUUGCAUCUGAAACUGGAUAUCUUGAGGGCAGGAGAGGAAAGUGGAAUUCCUGGUGUAGCGGUGAAAUGCGUAGAAAUCAGGAGGAAUACCAGUGGCGAAGGCGACUUUCUGGACUGACCCUGACGCUGAGAUGCGAAAGCGUGGGUAGCAAACAGGAUUAGAUACCCUGGUAGUCACAGGGGUACUCCUACGGGAGGCAGGAUUAGAUACCCUGGUAGUCA
rnacentral:rRNA from 1 species